rnacentral:rRNA from 1 species
GGUUAAGCGACUAAGCGUACACGGUGGAUGCCCUGGCAGUCAGAGGCGAUGAAGGACGUGCUAAUCUGCGAUAAGCGCCGGUAAGGUGAUAUGAACCGUUAUAACCGGCGAUUUCCGAAUGGGGAAACCCAGUGUGAUUCGUCACACUAUCAUUAACUGAAUCCAUAGGUUAAUGAGGCGAACCGGGGGAACUGAAACAUCUAAGUACCCCGAGGAAAAGAAAUCAACCGAGAUUCCCCCAGUAGCGGCGAGCGAACGGGGAGGAGCCCAGAGCCUGAAUCAGCAUGUGUGUUAGUGGAAGCGUCUGGAAAGGCGCGCGAUACAGGGUGACAGCCCCGUACACAAAAGCGCAUGUGCUGUGAGCUCGAUGAGUAGGGCGGGACACGUGGUAUCCUGUCUGAAUAUGGGGGGACCAUCCUCCAAGGCUAAAUACUCCUGACUGACCGAUAGUGAACCAGUACCGUGAGGGAAAGGCGAAAAGAACCCCGGCGAGGGGAGUGAAAAAGAACCUGAAACCGUGUACGUACAAGCAGUGGGAGCACCUUCGGGUGUGACUGCGUACCUUUUGUAUAAUGGGUCAGCGACUUAUAUUCUGUAGCAAGGUUAACCGUAUAGGGGAGCCGGAGGGAAACCGAGUCUUAAUUGGGCGUUAAGUUGCAGGGUAUAGACCCGAAACCCGGUGAUCUAGCCAUGGGCAGGUUGAAGGUUGGGUAACACUAACUGGAGGACCGAACCGACUAAUGUUGAAAAAUUAGCGGAUGACCUGUGGCUGGGGGUGAAAGGCCAAUCAAACCGGGAGAUAGCUGGUUCUCCCCGAAAGCUAUUUAGGUAGCGCCUCGUGAAUUCAUCUCCGGGGGUAGAGCACUGUUUCGGCUAGGGGGCCAUCCCGGCUUACCAACCCGAUGCAAACUGCGAAUACCGGAGAAUGUUAUCACGGGAGACACACGGCGGGUGCUAACGUCCGUCGUGAAGAGGGAAACAACCCAGACCGCCAGCUAAGGUCCCAAAGUCAUGGUUAAGUGGGAAACGAUGUGGGAAGGCCCAGACAGCCAGGAUGUUGGCUUAGAAGCAGCCAUCAUUUAAAGAAAGCGUAAUAGCUCACUGGUCGAGUCGGCCUGCGCGGAAGAUGUAACGGGGCUAAACCAUGCACCGAAGCUGCGGCAGCGACGCUUAUGCGUUGUUGGGUAGGGGAGCGUUCUGUAAGCCUGCGAAGGUGGCCUGUGAGGGUUGCUGGAGGUAUCAGAAGUGCGAAUGCUGACAUAAGUAACGAUAAAGCGGGUGAAAAGCCCGCUCGCCGGAAGACCAAGGGUUCCUGUCCAACGUUAAUCGGGGCAGGGUGAGUCGACCCCUAAGGCGAGGCCGAAAGGCGUAGUCGAUGGGAAACGGGUUAAUAUUCCCGUACUUGGUGUUACUGCGAAGGGGGGACGGAGAAGGCUAUGUUGGCCGGGCGACGGUUGUCCCGGUUUAAGCGUGUAGGUGUGUGUUCCAGGUAAAUCCGGUUCACUUUAACACUGAGGCGUGACGACGAGGCACUACGGUGCUGAAGCAACAAAUGCCCUGCUUCCAGGAAAAGCCUCUAAGCAUCAGGUAACAUCAAAUCGUACCCCAAACCGACACAGGUGGUCAGGUAGAGAAUACCAAGGCGCUUGAGAGAACUCGGGUGAAGGAACUAGGCAAAAUGGUGCCGUAACUUCGGGAGAAGGCACGCUGACACGUAGGUGAAGUGAUUUACUCAUGGAGCUGAAGUCAGUCGAAGAUACCAGCUGGCUGCAACUGUUUAUUAAAAACACAGCACUGUGCAAACACGAAAGUGGACGUAUACGGUGUGACGCCUGCCCGGUGCCGGAAGGUUAAUUGAUGGGGUCAGCGCAAGCGAAGCUCCUGAUCGAAGCCCCGGUAAACGGCGGCCGUAACUAUAACGGUCCUAAGGUAGCGAAAUUCCUUGUCGGGUAAGUUCCGACCUGCACGAAUGGCGUAAUGAUGGCCAGGCUGUCUCCACCCGAGACUCAGUGAAAUUGAACUCGCUGUGAAGAUGCAGUGUACCCGCGGCAAGACGGAAAGACCCCGUGAACCUUUACUAUAGCUUGACACUGAACAUUGAGCCUUGAUGUGUAGGAUAGGUGGGAGGCUUUGAAGCGUGGACGCCAGUCUGCGUGGAGCCGACCUUGAAAUACCACCCUUUAAUGUUUGAUGUUCUAACGUGGACCCGUGAUCCGGGUUGCGGACAGUGUCUGGUGGGUAGUUUGACUGGGGCGGUCUCCUCCUAAAGAGUAACGGAGGAGCACGAAGGUUGGCUAAUCCUGGUCGGACAUCAGGAGGUUAGUGCAAUGGCAUAAGCCAGCUUGACUGCGAGCGUGACGGCGCGAGCAGGUGCGAAAGCAGGUCAUAGUGAUCCGGUGGUUCUGAAUGGAAGGGCCAUCGCUCAACGGAUAAAAGGUACUCCGGGGAUAACAGGCUGAUACCGCCCAAGAGUUCAUAUCGACGGCGGUGUUUGGCACCUCGAUGUCGGCUCAUCACAUCCUGGGGCUGAAGUAGGUCCCAAGGGUAUGGCUGUUCGCCAUUUAAAGUGGUACGCGAGCUGGGUUUAGAACGUCGUGAGACAGUUCGGUCCCUAUCUGCCGUGGGCGCUGGAGAACUGAGGGGGGCUGCUCCUAGUACGAGAGGACCGGAGUGGACGCAUCACUGGUGUUCGGGUUGUCAUGCCAAUGGCACUGCCCGGUAGCUAAAUGCGGAAGAGAUAAGUGCUGAAAGCAUCUAAGCACGAAACUUGCCCCGAGAUGAGUUCUCCCUGAGACUUAGAGUCUCCUGAAGGAACGUUGAAGACGACGACGUUGAUAGGCCGGGUGUGUAAGCGCAGCGAUGCGUUGAGCUAACCGGUACUAAUGAACCGUGAGGCUUAACCUU